rnacentral:rRNA from 1 species
AGUGAACGCUGGCGGCGUGCCUAAUACAUGCAAGUCGAACGGAGUGGCGCACGGGUGAGUAAUAUAUAGCUAAUCUGCCGCUGGCUGGGGGACAACAGUUAAAACUGACUGCUAAUACUCCAUAGCAAGGGAUGGGACUAUAUCGUAUCAGCUAGUCGGUGGGGUAACGGCCUACCGAGGCUAUGACGCGUAACUGGUCUGAGAGGAUGAUCAGUCACAUUGGAAGUGAGACACGGGCCAAACUCCUACGGGAGGGAGCAGAAGGGGAUAUUGCGCAAUGGGGGUAACUCUGACGGAGCAACGCCGCGUGGAGGAUGACACUUUUCGGAGCGUAAACUCCUUUUGUUAGGGAAGCGGUACCUAACGAAGAAGCACCGGCUAACUCCGUGCCAGCAGCCGCGGUAAUUC